rnacentral:misc_RNA from 1 species
CGGAGCGGGCAAGACCACGCUGUUCAACAUCGUCUCCGGGGUCUAUGAGCGCGAUCAGGGGCAUGUCGAACUGUCGGGCGAGGAUGUCACAGGACUGACGCCCGACAAGCUCGCAACGCGCGGCAUGUCGCGCACCUUCCAGAACCUCCAGAUAUUCCAGCGCAUGACGGCUGCGGAGAACGUCAUGGUCGGCCGUCAUCUCCGGGAGCGCUGCAAUCUGCUCGCGGACCUGUUCCGCCUGCCAUCGGUGACGCGGCAAAACGCCG